rnacentral:rRNA from 1 species
UACAGAGGUCUCGAGCGUUAAUCGGAGUCACUGGGCUUAAAGGGUGCGUAGGCGGUCUCACAAGUGCUUUGUGAAAUCCCAUGGCUCAACCAUGGAAUUGCUCGGCAGACUGUGAGACUUGAGGUCGGUAGGGGCUGCUGGAACUCUAGGUGGAGCGGUGAAAUGCGUAGAUAUCUAGAGGAACGCCAAAGGUGAAGACAGGCAGCUGGGCCGAUUCUGACGCUGAGGCACGAAAGCGUGGGUAGCAAACGGG